AUGUUAGGAAUGGACAAUAAAGCCGCCAUCACCACGAGCUGGUCAAAGUUUCGCAGCUAUGCAAACAUCCACCAAGGAGACAUCUACGCCUUCUGCUUCAAGGUCACUGCAAAUCGGUGCCUUGCUCUCGCUGUGCAUCUGACACGGAUCUUGUGUCUAGGCGAUAGGAUUUACUCUCAGAUGAUCAGAUCGAAGAUACAAGUAGCUAGGGUUUUUCAGCAAGAAAGGGGAUCGGGGAAUGAGAGCCAGAGGUGGGAGAGAGGAUACAUCGCCCUUGCGGCGCCGUCAGGUCUGAUCUAUCGAUGCCCUAGUUCUCCACUCGUUUUGCCUUUAAGUAGUCUCACUUGCUCCACAUGGGCCCGGUCACUUGGCGGUUGGGCUGGCUCUCCUUCCUGGGCCGGUCUGGUGGUGCUGGGCCUUGGCCUUCAGUAG
rnacentral:rRNA from 1 species